AUUGAACGCUGGCGGCAGGCUUAACACAUGCAAGUCGAGCGAGCGGCGGACGGGUGAGUAAUGUCUGGGAAACUGCCUGAUGGAGGGGGAUAACUACUGGAAACUGUAGCUAAUACCGCAUACCAUCGGAUGUGCCCAGAUGGGAUUAGCUAGUUGGUGGGGUAAUGGCUCACCUAGGCGACGAUCCCUAGCUGGUCUGAGAGGAUGACCAGCCACACUGGAACUGAGACACGGUCCAGACUCCUACGGGAGGCAGCAGUGGGGAAUAUUGCGCAAUGGGCGCAAGCCUGAUGCAGCCAUGCCGCGUGAGUGAAGAAGGCCUUCGGGUUGUAAAGUACUUUCGGUGGGGAGGCGUUACCUGCAGAAGAAGCACCGGCUAACUCCGUGCCAGCAGCCGCGGUAAUAC
rnacentral:rRNA from 1 species